rnacentral:lncRNA from 1 species
GUCGAAGCUGCCUGAAUGGUGUGUGCAGCCAAUGAGGAAACAGAACAGAAUAUGGCUUGCUGGGCCAUCCAGCUCUUCACAGAUCAAUCCCAAUCCUACUACAAAUGGUGUCCUUACCAAAACCAGCCAGAAGAGCACAUGUGACCAGGAAGCCCCAGUGACUGGACAUGCUCAGGGUCCAGCUGCUAUGACAGUGAGAGCGUUCUGCUGAAGGCCCUGCUGGAGUUGACGUGAAACGAGCCGUGCAGCUUGUUGGAGCUCACACCAGAUUUCCUCCUUUCCCUGUCCUGUUGUGUGUACACCAUUAACCUGGGUGAGCUUAUUCCAGUCAGAGGACCUGGAACUGGAGAGGACGAGGAAGUAUUUUAUCACACCAUAUGGCUAUGCUGCUGAGACUUUGUUCUUAGGAGCCAAAGGAUACCCUGUCCUUACUUCCAACCAGGCAGGAAAGCCAUCCCUAGCCCUUCCAAGGGGUGAGAGCCCAGCAGAGCCUAGAGGAGGAGAGGUGAGUCAGAAGACGGAUCAAAUGAGAGACCCCAACAUCUCCGGAGUAACCUGCUCUCAGGAGCUGACUCUUCUGCCGAGGUCAGAGAUGAUCAGACACAUCUGAAUUGCAAUUAGAGAUAAACAGAGCGCUGGGGCUUCUCAAGUCACCAGAGAAUAUGGCCGGGCGACUGGCAGCUACAAGGAUCCCAUUUAUGCGUUACGAUGCAGUUCUAUUCUUCAAUAGCUCACUCCAAACAAGGAAAUUAAAUUAAGCACUGUUUAAAAUGCCUCAGAUAAUAAUAUAAAUUUGUACUGAAUGAAUUUAGUGUCAUUUCCUUGUUUGGAAUGGAAGGUGAGAAAACAUGGGAGCGGAGGAAAGAGUAAAUAGCGAACUCGAUUAAUCCUCCUGGAAGAGAACGGAGCCACACGAGCGACUUUUGUGUCUGUUUGGUUAAUAUUUUCCUGAAAAUUGUUAUUAGCUCUAACUGAUCCAAAUCAAAACCCACCGUAUAACGUUGCCAACAACUUAAUAGCUGGAGCGCAGGCCGGAAGGCUUGCCGUGGCGCCGCAGCGGAAGCGAAGGGGGCACGGGUGUGCAGGAGCUUGAGAUUAAAACCUGUCAGAGAAAGGCUGAAGCCAAGUAGAGAGCUGGGCUGGUCCUGAGAGAAAAGGGUCAGGACUGUGGCCUGGAGGUGAUACAGGGUCUGUUCCACUAGUGCGUGGCUUUUUGUGACUUGUGAAGGACAGGCAGGGAUGGUAAGCCCCCCAAGGGGCUAAGUGAGGUGGAAUACACUUGUCUCCCGGAACUAGAGAGCUGAGGCCAUCCUGGGCCACAGAGUAAGCCUUUGCUUCAAAACAAACGAGACAAAACCAGCUAAUAAUAAGAGAAUGUCCAGCUCUGCCCACCAAGAGCCAUGGUUAUAGUAGCUGUCAUCUUCCUUGGGAGCAAGGAAGCCUGGGGAGACAAGA